rnacentral:lncRNA from 1 species
AACGACGGCGACACAAGUAUCUGGAUUAUGGAUGAUGCCAAAAAACAAGAAUGGUCGAGAACAAUCCUUUGCUUGCCAAACUACCCAGUGAAGUUGUUAGGAGCUGAUGUGGAUACCUUCUCUGGUGCCACCCCUGCUGGAGAGAUUUAUGCAACUAUUUCUUUGAUAAGUCAUUGUAUGUUUACUACUAUGACAUGAACCAAAACAGCUUUAGAAGAGUUCAUAUCGAAGGUGGUGUUCGCGAUAAAACAAAGAAGCAUAGGUAUUGUGUUGAAGUAUUUGCGAUUCAUGAUCAUGUCGAGAAUACAAUGUCGUUGUAACAAUUUUCUUUUGUAUUUACUUCUUCUCAGUUACUUAAGUGUUAUAUACGACGACCCACUGCUUUUAUGCUUUGCAAGUGUAUUUUGGCUGGCGACCAUCUAUAUAUAUUUGGAUUCUUUUCCUCUUUACUUUGACCCUUAGUUAGAAUUUACAACAAAAUUUUAUGUUUAUCAUGAGAGUUGUGUAUCAUUCUUCACCCUAAGAAUUAGGCAUGGACAUAAAAAAACUGAAACACGAAUCCAAACCUGAACCCAACCAAAAUAAAGGUAUUGGAUUUGUUUCAUAUCCAGCAAAUAACCCGAUCAGGUUUCAUAUUUUGAUACUUCAGAUAUCGGGUUUGGUUCAGUCGGUUUAACCCAAUAACCGAAACAUAAUCCGAGUAUUAUCUAAGGGUGCAACUGGAAUGCAUUUUUUUGGAAUAAAAACUUCAUGAAUACUUAAUUCUUUCUCAUUCCAUAAAAUAUUCACCAAUUGCAAUGAAAAGAAGGAAUAACUAUUCCAUCUCAUUCCAUAUUAUUUCUUUUCAUUCCAAAAAAAAUAUCAACAUUCUUUUGAAAAACCAUUCCACAUCAAAAUAGUUUUGGAACAAAUGGAAUAUUAAUUCCAUUCCAUUGAAUUCCACUAAUUAUCAUUCAUGUAAUUCCACUUAUUCUCCCAUGUUUUCUCUCCGACCACCACCGACCAUGUAGUAACUAUCCCUCGACCAAGCCGUCCCUGCACCUUCCACUAUCAAUACUCCCGAGGCUUGAUAUGUUGCUCUUCUUUCGAAUCUCAUUUGGUUACCAUAUACAACCCUACCACCAGGCAGGUUUUUCCGUUACCCGAGAUCCAAGCCCCGACAAGGUCCGGAUUGAGUUCAUGCUUCUUUGGCUACGACCCUAUCACGUAUCAAUACAAAGUCUUGUCCAUUAUUUUCGACUGUGACGAGCGGAAGCAAACUUAUCAUGUUUUCACAUUGGGAUGUCAGCAAUCUUGGAGGAAAGUGAAAGGCAUUGAUGAAGAUUCCUAUCCAAACGAUUACAGUGUAUGCAUCGACGGGACUAUCUACUACAGCGCAUACAGAAAACCUCGUGAGACUAUUUUGCUGAGUUUCGACCUUAGGUCCGAAAGAUUUGAUCGCGUCUUGGUUCCAGAAGCAUUAUCAAAAGCAUUGUUGGCUCUUAUUAAUAAUCAACGUCUGGUAAACCACCUAGGUAAGUUGGGAUGCAUAUGUUGUAACGACGGCGACACAAGUAUCUGGAUUAUGGAUGAUGCCAAAAAACAAGAAUGGUCGAGAACAAUCCUUUGCUUGCCAAAGUACCCAGUGAAGUUGUUAGGAGCUGAUGUGGAUACCUUCUCUGGUGCCACCCCUGCUGGAGAGAUUUAUGCAACUCAAUGCAACUAUUUCUUUGAUAAGUCAUUGUAUGUUUACUACUAUGACAUGAACCAAAACAGCUUUAGAAGAGUUCAUA